rnacentral:rRNA from 1 species
GAUCAUGGCUCAGAUUGAACGCUGCGGCAUGCCUUACACAUGCAAGUCGAACGGUAACAGGUCUUCGGAUGCUGACGAGUGGCGAACGGGUGAGUAAAAUAUCGGAACGUGCCCAGUCGUGGGGGAUAACGCAGCGAAAGCUGUGCUAAUACCGCAUACGAUCUAUGGAUGAAAGCGGGGGACCGUAAGGCCUCGCGCGAUUGGAGCGGCCGAUGUCAGAUUAGGUAGUUGGUGGGGUAAAGGCUCACCAAGCCAACGAUCUGUAGCUGGUCUGAGAGGACGACCAGCCACACUGGGACUGAGACACGGCCCAGACUCCUACGGGAGGCAGCAGUGAGGAAUAUUGGUCAAUGGGUGCAAGCCUGAUCCAGCAAUGCCGCGUGCAGGAAGAAGGCCUUCGGGUUGUAAACUGCUUUUGUACGGAACGAAACGGUCCGGGUUAAUACCCUGGGCUAAUGACGGUACCGUAAGAAUAAGCACCGGCUAACUACGUG